CCGGGACUUGAAUUUCCCCCCAUUAGCUGCGUUCCCAAUUUUUAACCUCGAUGCCUCCUCUAGUAUUAUUUAUACUCUCUAUGGGCAUAACAGCGGCGGAAAUACCGUUUCAUGCGGUCUUCCAAAUAUGGAAAUAUGUGCCAAAUACGGAAUGCAAGCCGAGGUGAAUCGGCGAAUCUUGAGCCGGGCUAAUCCGAACUCAGCAGUAUGUUUAAAUUUUCUACGCACAGAUUAGGAUGCUCCCCGAGCUCGCUCUCCCUGGUCGCAAUGAACAGACAAAAAACGAAUAAACAGACUGUUCCUUCAUUAUUUUUAACUAAUGCUUGUCACAUUCUGAAUAAAAUGGAUGAGCUCAGCUCAGUUGCGGAAAUUAAUGAUCCUGACCUUAUAUGUAUUUCUGAGACCUGGCUAGAUCCCAGCAUAUACGAUGGAGUUAUAUCUAUUGGACCUAACUAUACUCCGUACCGAAAAGAUAGAGGAACACUUGGCGGCGGUUUAAUUACUUAUGUUAAAACUGCAAUACCUUCUAGCCGCUUGUUUGACAUGGAAGAGGAAGGCAAAGAGGCUCUGUGGCUAUUGUUGAAACCACAAAGAC